rnacentral:lncRNA from 1 species
CGUCUAUCCAUCUGGGAGUUGCAGGUGAUGUCCUCACUAAGGCACCCUUGCCAGGCUUCAGGAGGCUGAGGACUGUCCUCUUCUCUCUCAGAAGGCAAGGUGUAGGACUGCUCAGCGUGCUUGAGACUAGACUCACAGUACUUGCUGUAGGAAGGUUGUGAGAUGUCCAUCCUUUGAGAUUUAAAUAUAGUUCAGUCCAGAAGAAAAAGUCCUUUUUUUUGUUUUUUUAUUCUGCUACCCUGAGGACCUGAGGUCCUAGGUAGAUCUUUCUCACGGAGCAAAGAGCAGGAGGACUGGGGAUUGAUCUCCCAAGGGAGGUACCCCGAUCCGAGUCAUGGCACCAAAUUUCAUGCGCGUUUGUGUGAAGAGACCACCAAACAGGCUUUGUGUGAGCAACAAGG